rnacentral:lncRNA from 1 species
UUCAGAAUUUGGCACAUUCUCUCGUCUGAGGACCAUGCAAUUUGUUGGAACAGAGAGACCUUGGCUAAGUAAGUUCAGCAUCUAGUUCUUACUGCAGGUCCAACCCUUGUAGUUGUUCCAUGGUGUUUCCAAUGGCACUUAAAUUUAUGUUAUCAUUAGCUUUGGAUAUUUUAUUAAUUUAAGUCUGUAUUAUAUUGGAAUGUAUAUUUCUUUUUGAAUUGGUUUCAUGUUCUUGGUUCUCUUAAUCAGAUCUAUAUGGGAAUAGGAUCCGACCUGUUGCUCCCUUUGGAAGUGUUAGCAGUACACCUUUCACUGAUCCUUCUCUGAUACAUCGAUGUUUGCCAGAUGAGUUGCUCUUGGAGGUACUGUUUUGUUUCUAUCUGUAUUGCACAAAAUACAUCUAGGCAUGCUACUUGAAUUCAUUCUUUGUUUUUCUCUAUGGUUGACAAGAUGUUCAAGUAGCAAGGCCAGAAUUAGAGGUCAUUGCAGUAACUUAUUAAUACACUGAAGAACCAUAAUAUAUUGUCUAUACAUCAUAGAAUGCAGAAACUCAAAACAUCUUUUUGUAACAUUUUAUUUCACUUGAUUUUUCGUUUGUUUCAUAGGUAUGGUAGGCUUUGUAACCUUUUUGUCACUUCUUUCCAAGCUCAUAAUUAGCUCUCAUCUCUCAAACAAUUGCUUGAACUCGUGUCAUGAAAAUAAUAAUACUGAAUUGCAUAUGGAUGGUUGUAAUUAGGUUUUCUCAAGAAUGAAUCCCUACACUUUAGGGAGGGCGGCCUGCGUUUGUCGCAAAUGGAGGUACGCUAUUCGGAAUCCCAACUUGUGGCGCAAUGCAUGCCUGAAAAUUUGGCAGGUACUAGUAAUUUUCAGAAAUAGUUGAUAGCUGUUUUUUUUGUGAACGAUUUUGUCACUGAUUCAUAUAAACCUGCUUAUGAAGGCUUCUGGAGUGGAGACAAACUACAGAAUUGUCCAUUCUCUCUAUGAUGGUUCUUGGAGGAAAAUGUGGGUCUGGAGACCAAGGAUUCGAAAUGAUGGUAAUGCUUCAACAUUUUACCAUGAACAUGUGACCAUAAACAUACUUAUAGACUGUGGUUGCUUAUAGUUGCAUCGAUGUACUGUGAUAAAUCU